UACGUAGGGGGCAAGCGUUGUCCGGAAUUAUUGGGCGUAAAGAGCUCGUAGGCGGUCUGUCGCGUCUGGUGUGAAAACUCAAGGCUUAACCUUGGGCCUGCAUCGGGUACGGGCAGACUAGAGUGCGGUAGGGGAGACUGGAAUUCCUGGUGUAGCGGUGAAAUGCGCAGAUAUCAGGAGGAACACCGGUGGCGAAGGCGGGUCUCUGGGCAGUAACUGACGCUGAGGAGCGAAAGCGUGGGGAGCGAACAGG
rnacentral:rRNA from 1 species